UCGAGUUUACUAUAUUGUCUUGUUUCAGCCAAAAUAAACAACUGCCAGCACAAGUGCACUAUAAAUAAGUUUGCACUUAGACGGUUUGAUUGAAACCAGAGCUACACAUAAGCAUCAGGUUUCUGUCAAACCAAGAAAAAUAUGAACGCAAGUUAUCCAAAAUAUACAGAUAAAACAUCUCCAAAAUAUGAACUAGCAUUCAUUGAACUAAACAUCUAGGACUUGGUUCUCUUUCUUCUUUGACACUUGCUGCUUAUUUUUCUUCUUUAAACCAAGUGUUUUGGUAGGUGGUCUUGGAGGUGGGAGCUCAUCUCUGCAGCUGGCAAUGAAUUGACUCUCGGGUAGAGGACCUGGUGGUGCAGUUUGAGAUUGUUGUGUCGCUAUUGCCUGCAAACCAAGUGUACAUGAGAAUUCAGCAAUAAAAGAUAAAUUUAAUACCAAACAAUUGACUCACUUGUUCCUGUAGAACAUGAAUCACACUAGAUGACGUGACACUGUAACUUAUUGCAGAUUCCACAAUACUAGGUGUUGUACUUGUAGCCA
rnacentral:lncRNA from 1 species